rnacentral:rRNA from 1 species
AGAGUUUGAUCCUGGCUCAGAACGAACGCUGGUGGCGUGCUUAACACAUGCAAGUCGAACGAGAAAGUUUCCUUCGGGAAAUUAGUAAAGUGGCGCAAGGGUGAGUAACACGUGAAUAAUCUGCCCUCGAGAUCGGGAUAACAUGGUGAAAACUAUGCUAAUACCGGUUAAGACCACAUUUCAUAAGAAAUGUGGGAAAAGAAGUCUCAACCUUCACUCGAGGAUGAGUUCGCGCAACAUUAGCUUGUUGGUGAGAUAAAAGCUCACCAAGGCUACUAUGUUUAGCCGGCCUGAGAGGGUGAACGGCCACACUGGAACUGAGACACGGUCCAGACUCCUACGGGAGGCAGCAGUGGGGAAUAUUGCGCAAUGGGCGAAAGCCUGACGCAGCAACGCCGUGUGAGCGAUGAAGGCUUUAGGGUUGUAAAGCUCUGUCAAAUGGGAAGAAUUAUGACGGUACCAUUAGAGGAAGCCCCGGCUAACUCCGUGCCAGCAGCCGCGGUAAUACGGAGGGGGCAAGCGUUGUUCGGAAUUAUUGGGCGUAAAGCGUAUGUAGGCGGCUAAGUAAGUCAGGCGUGCAAGCCCGUGGCUCAACCACGGAAUUGCGUUUGAAACUG